GACGAACGCUGGCGGCGUGCUUAACACAUGCAAGCCGAACGGAAAGGCCCUGCUUUUGUGGGGUGCUCGAGUGGCGAACGGGUGAGUAACACGUGAGUAACCUGCCCUUGACUUUGGGAUAACUUCAGGAAACUGGGGCUAAUACCGGAUAGGAGCUCCUGCUGCAUGGUGGGGGUUGAAAGUUUCGGCGGUUGGGGAUGGACUCGCGGCUUAUCAGCUUGUUGGUGGGGUAGUGGCUUACCAAGGCUUUGACGGGUAGCCGGCCUGAGAGGGUGACCGGCCACAUUGGGACUGAGAUACGGCCCAGACUCCUACGGGAGGCAGCAGUGGGGAAUAUUGCACAAUGGGCGGAAGCCUGAUGCAGCAACGCCGCGUGCGGGAUGACGGCCUUCGGGUUGUAAACCGCUUUCGCCUGUGACGAAGCGUGAGUGACGGUAAUGGGUAAAGAAGCACCGGCUAACUACGUG
rnacentral:rRNA from 1 species